AUUGAACGCUGGCGGCAGGCCUAACACAUGCAAGUCGAGCGGAUGAAGGGAGCUUGCUCCUGGAUUCAGCGGCGGACGGGUGAGUAAUGCCUAGGAAUCUGCCUGGUAGUGGGGGAUAACGUCCGGAAACGGGUGCUAAUACCGCAUACGUCCUGAGGGAGAAAGUGGGGGAUCUUCGGACCUCACGCUAUCAGAUGAGCCUAGGUCGGAUUGGCUAGUUGGUGGGGUAAAGGCCUACCAAGGCGACGAUCCGUAACUGGUCUGAGAGGAUGAUCAGUCACACUGGAACUGAGACACGGUCCAGACUCCUACGGGAGGCAGCAGUGGGGAAUAUUGGACAAUGGGCGAAAGCCUGAUCCAGCCAUGCCGCGUGUGUGAAGAAGGUCUUCGGAUUGUAAAGCACUUUAAGUUGGGAGGAAGGGCAGUAAGUUAAUACCUUGCUGUUUUGACGUUACCAACAGAAUAAGCACCGGCUAACUUCGUG
rnacentral:rRNA from 1 species